GGAGAAAGACACAGACCUGUCUUCAGGUCAUUGCCUUAACCUUGGCAAAAUAAACUUCUAAAUGGAUUGAGACCUGUCUCAGAUACUUUUUGGUUUACAAGGGCGAGCUCACAAGGCUUUAGCGGACCUCUGGGAGCGUGCACAAAGAAGGGACGCUUGAAUUGCUUGUUUUCUCAAGAAGUGUCAGGUCUGAGAGCCUGAAGCUACCCAGCCAAGUACUCCUCACGUCUCCUCCCUGCCUUACAGGGAGGGGAUUCAGCGUUGGUUUUGACUGUCACCAGGACUGGACAUCCUGAUGACCGAAAAAGCAGAUGGCGUUUGUGACUAUAUAUACAUAAUACAACAGAGAAAGCCAAAAAUCCAAGGAACUGCAAGAAUUUUUAUCCGGGUGAAGAUUAUCCUGACAGAGAAAAGUUAGGUGAGGAAGACAAAAACAAAGCUGUAUUUGGAUAAUGUCACGAGUCCUGUUUGUUCAACACACUGGACACAGCAAGACGACUGACUGAAUUAGCCUCCCAUGGCCUCUGCCCAGGCUGGAUAAGAACCUCAAACCUAGGAGGGAGUGGAGGAGACGGAGCUUGGAGAGCCUACCUGCACCCAGGUGAAAUAAACAGCCAUGUUGCUCACGCAAAGCCUGUUUGGUGGUCUCUUCACACGGACGCGCAUGAAAUUUGGUGCCGUGACUUGGAUCGGGGGACCUCCCUUCGGAGAUCAAUCCCCUGUCCUCCUGUUCUUUGCUCCAUGAGAAAGAUCCACCUACGACCUCAGGUCCUCAGACUGACCAGCCCAAGAAACAUCUCACCAAUUUCAAAUCCGGACCCCACUGGAAAUCGGACUGUUCAACUCACCUGGCAGCCACUCCCGGAGCCCCUGGAACUCUGGCCCAAGACUCUCUGACUGACUCCUUCUCGGCUUAGCGGCUGAAGACUGACGCUGCCCGGUCGCCUCGGAAGCCCCGUAGACCAUCAGGGACGCCGAGCUUUGGGUAACUCUCACAGUGGAAGGUAAGCCCGUCCCCUUCUUAAUCAAUACAGAGGCUACCCACUCCACAUUACCUUCUUUUCAAGGGUCUGUUUCCCUUGCCUCCAUAACUGUUCUAGGUAUUGACGGCCAGGCUUCUAAACCUCUUAAAACUCCCCAAAUCUAGUGCCAACUUAGACAAUACUCUUUUAAGCACUCCUUUUUAGUUAUCCCCACCUGCCCAGUUCCCUUAUUAGGCUGAGACACUUUAACUAAAUUAUCUGCUUCCCUGACUGUUCCUGGACUACAGCUGUAUCUCAUUGCCGCCUUUCUUCCCAAUCCAAAGCUUCCUUUGCGUCCUCCUCUUGUAUCCCCCCACCUUAACCCACAAGUAUAAGAUACCUCUACUCCCUCCUUGGUGACCGAUCAUGCACCCCUUACCGUGUCAUUAAAACCUAAUCACCCUUACCCCACUAAAUGCCAAUAUCCCAUCCCGCAGCACGCUUUAAAAAGAUUAAAGCCUGUUAUCACUGGCCUGCUACAGCAUGGCCUUUUAAAGCCUAUAAACUCUCCUUAUAAUUCCCCCAUUUUACCCAUCCUAAAACUGCACAAGUCUUACAGAUUAGUUCAGGAUCUGCAUCUUAUCAACCAAACUGUUUUGCCUAUCCACCCUGUGGUGCCCAAGCUGUACACUCUUUUGUCCUCAAUACCUUCCUCCACAACUCACUAUUCCGUGCUUGAUCUUAAAGAUGCUUUUUUCACUAUUCCCCUGCACCCCUCGUCCCAGCCUCUCUUCGCUUUCACUUAGACUGACCCUGACACCCAUUAGGCUCUGCAAAUUACCUAGGCUGUACUGCCGCAAGGCUUCAUAGACAGCCCCCAUUACUUCAGUCAAGCCCAAAUUUCAUCCUCAUCUGUUACCUAUCUCGCCAUAAUUCUCAUAAAAACACACGUGCUCUCCCUGCUGAUCAUGUCCGAUUAAUCUCCCAAACCUCAAUCCCUUACAAAACAACAACUCCUUUCCUUCCUAGGCAUAGUUAGUGCGGUCAGAAUUCUUACACAAGAGCCAGGACUGCACCCUGUAGUGUUUCUGUGCAAACAACUUGACCUUACUGUUUUAUCCUAGCCCUCAUGUCUGCGUGCAGCGGCUGCCGCUGCUUUAAUAGUUUUAGAGGCCCUCAAAAUCACAAACUAUGCUCAACUCACUCUCUACAUUUCUCAUAACUUCCAAAAUCUAUUUUCUUCCUCAUACCUGACGCAUAUACUUUCUGCUACCCAGCUCCUUCAGCUGUUCUCACUCUUUGUUAAGUCCUACAAUUAUCAUUGUUCCUGCCCUGGACUUCAAUCCGGCCUCUCACAUUAUUCUGGAUACCACACCUGACCCCCAUGACUGUAUCUCUCUGAUCCACCUGACAUUCACCCCAUUUCCCCAAAUUUCCUUAUUUCCUGUUCCUCAUCCUGAUCACGCUUGAUUUAUUGAUGGCGGUUCCACCAGGCCUAAUCGCCACACACCAGCAAAGGCAGGCUAUGCUAUAGCACAAGCCACUAGCCCGCCUCUUAGAACCUCUCAUUUCCUUUCCAUCGUGGAAAUCUAUCCUCAAGGAAAUAACUUCUCAGUGUUCCAUCUGCUAUUCUACUACUCCUCAGGGAUUAUUCAGGCCCCCUCCCUACCCUACACAUCAAGCUCGAGGAUUUGCUCCCACCCAGGACUGACAAAUUAGCUUUACUCAACAUGCCCCGAGUCAGAUAACUAAAAUCCCUCUUAGUCUAGGUAGACACUUUCACUGGAUAGGUAGAGGCCUUUCCUACAGGGUCUGAGAAGGCCACCACAGUCAUGUCUUCCCUUCUGUCAGACAUAAUUCCUCAGUUUAGCCUUCCCACCUCUAUACUGUCUGACAACAGGUAAGCCUUUAUUAGUCAAAUCAGCCAAGCAGUUUUUCAGGCUCUUAGUGUUCACUGAAACCUUUAUAUCCCUUAUGGUCCUCCGUCUUCAAGAAAAGUAGAAUGGACUAAAGGUCUUUAAAAACACACCUCACCAAGCUCAGCCACCAACUUAAAAAGGACUGGACAAUACUUUUACCACUUUCCCUUCUCAGAAGUCAGACCUGUCCUCAGAAUGCUACAAGGUACAGCCCAUUUAAGCUCCUAUAUAGACGCUCCUUUUUAUUAGGCCCCAGUCUCAUUCCAGACACCAGACCAACUUAGACUGUGCCCCAAAAAAACUUGUCAUCCCUACUAUCUUCUGUCUAGUCAUACUCCUAUUCACCGUUCUCACCUACUCAUACAUGCCCUGCUCUUGUUUACACUGCCAGUUUACAUUGUUUCUCCAAGCCAUCACAGCUGAUAUCUCCUGGUGCUAUCCCCAAACUGCCACUCUUAACUCUUGAAGUAAAUAAAUAAUCUUUGCUGGUAGGACUAUGCUGAAUCUCCUUAGGCACUCUCUAAUCAGAUAUCCUGAGUCGUCCCAAUUCUUAGACAUUUUAUACCUGUUUUUCUCCUUCUGUUAUUCCAUUAAGUUUUUCAAUUCAUACAAAACCAUAUCAAGGCCAUCACCAAUCAUUGUAUACGACAAAUAUUUCUUCUAACAUCCCCACAAUAUCACCCCUUACCACAAGACCUCCCUUCAGCUUAAUCUCUCCCACUCUAGGUUCCCACGCCGCCCCGUAAUCCCGCUUGAAGCAGCCCUGAGAAACAUCGCCCAUUCUCUCUACAUACCACCCCCCAAAAAUUUUCACUGCCCCAACACUUCAACACUAUUUUAUUUUUCUUAUUAAUAUAAGAAGUCAGGAAUGUCAGGCCUCUGAGCCCAAGCCAAGCCAUCGCAUCCC
rnacentral:lncRNA from 1 species